AGUGAACGCUGGCGGUAGGCCUAACACAUGCAAGUCGAACGGCAGCACAGUAAGAGCUUGCUCUUACGGGUGGCGAGUGGCGGACGGGUGAGGAAUACAGCGGAAUCUACUUUUUCGUGGGGGAUAACGUAGGGAAACUUACGCUAAUACCGCAUACGACCUACGGGUGAAAGCAGGGGAUCUUCGGACCUUGCGCGAUUGAAUGAGCCGAUGUCGGAUUAGCUAGUUGGCGGGGUAAAGGCCCACCAAGGCGACGAUCCGUAGCUGGUCUGAGAGGAUGAUCAGCCACACUGGAAGUGAGACACGGUACAGACUCCUACGGGAGGCAGCAGUGGGGAAUAUUGGACAAUGGGCGCAAGCCUGAUCCAGCCAUACCGCGUGGGUGAAGAAGGCCUUCGGGUUGUAAAGCCCUUUUGUUGGGAAAGAAAAGCAGCAGGUUAAUACCACGCUGUUCUGACGGUACCCAAAGAAUAAGCACCGGCUAACUUCGUG
rnacentral:rRNA from 1 species